GGGCGAAUGGUCUAGUGGUAUGAUUUUCCCUUAGCAUCUUUCCGUCUCAGAAAUACCUGAGAAGGACCCGCUUGGGAGAGGUCCGGGGUUCAAUUCCCCGUUUGUCCA